rnacentral:rRNA from 1 species
AUUGAACGCUGGCGGCAGGCCUAACACAUGCAAGUCGAGCGGAUGAAGGGAGCUUGCUCCUGGAUUCAGCGGCGGACGGGUGAGUAAUGCCUAGGAAUCUGCCUGGUAGUGGGGGAUAACGUCCGGAAACGGGCGCUAAUACCGCAUACGUCCUGAGGGAGAAAGUGGGGGAUCUUCGGACCUCACGCUAUCAGAUGAGCCUAGGUCGGAUUAGCUAGUUGGUGGGGUAAAGGCCUACCAAGGCGACGAUCCGUAACUGGUCUGAGAGGAUGAUCAGUCAAACUGGAACUGAGAAACGGUCCAGACUCCUAAGGGAGGCAGCAGUGGGGAAUAUUGGACAAUGGGCGAAAGCCUGAUCCAGCCAUGCCGCGUGUGUGAAGAAGGUCUUCGGAUUGUAAAGCACUUUAAGUUGGGAGGAAGGGCAGUAAGUUAAUACCUUGCUGUUUUGACGUUACCAACAGAAUAAGCACCGGCUAACUUCGUG